rnacentral:lncRNA from 1 species
CUAUAUCGGCUGCCCAAUAAUAUAGAAAAUUGUAAAAGAGAGAAUGGUGGUAGAGAGAAACAAUGAGAGGAAGAAGAAGGGUUUUGUAUUGUAUAUAUUUUGUUAGAUGCAAGGAAUGGCUCCUUUAUAGGCCUUGUGUAAUCCAACCAUAACGGUUGAGUACUUAUGGCCUCAUUAAGGCCAUAAUGAAAGAUAAUGGGAAGUUUUGAAACUUNNN